AUUCGCUUAUUUCACGCGGCCGCCAUUUUGGAUUGAAAGCGAGGCUGUGAUGGGAGGAAGUAGAAGUGAGACCACACUUAACAAUGGCAUGGACAUCGAAUCUACAGUUAUUACCGCGUUUUACAAUGAACGACGUAGAACAAUGGGCUGAAGAAGGAUGCCGAAUACCGAGAGCAGUGCUGUUAAAAGGAUACAGCAACUGGAUAGAGGGGUACAUAACUAAUAUUAAAGGUGGAGUUUCCAUCUGAUGGCUCCUUUAUUGGACAGUCAGUGUGCAACUGCAAAGCUGGUCAGGGUCACUGCAAUCAUAAAAUUGGACUGCUGUACACUCUUGCACAUUUUUUGAAGCUAGACUGCAAAUCUGUCCCUCCUACAGUUAGUAAAACCUCACUGCCACAAACUUGGCACAUUCCACCACGUGCAUUAGGUUUAAGCCCAAAACCUAUUAAUACAGUGAAAGUCUCAAAAUUAAAGCCUUCGACAGCAACUCAACUUCCAAAGAAAUAUAAAAGAUGUUGUAAUGGUAUAGUUCCCAACCUCUAUUGCCCCAUUACAACCCCUCUGCCAAGUGAUGAGUUUGCACACAACCUCACACAGAACCUUUCAGCUAUUGGUAGCACCUGUCAAAUGAUGCAGCUACUUCAAGCAUCUACCAGACAUCCAGUGGAUAAUGUUGCAACAGAGUUUGGAGACCUGCCCUGUGGAUCAGUGUUGACUUACCAAUCCCUCAAUCUGCCCACCACUUCAAUCACUGAUGAUCACCCACUCUUUCCUCUGCCACCACAGACAUGUAAUUUUUUUGUCCACUGUACCAAUGACAACCACCUUGAGCGGAUCCACUUUGAUGCCAAGAAAUGGGAGUCUAUGAAAACUAAACUGGACAUGUUCUUCUUUGAAUAUUUUCUGCCUGGCCUGUGCGGAUGAGGAGGCUAAAAAUAAAGGAAGGCUACAUACAUUUGGCAUUGUUUCUAAAGAAAUACAACUGUUAAAAGGUAAUUCUGUAAUGUGUCAUAACCAUAAAAAAUGAAUUGAGAGAGAUUUUUAGGAAAAAUACAUUGUUUUUAUUGGUUCAGAAUGAGCUAAAAUUUGUUGUUACAUUGAUUUUAUAAACACAGAAAAUUACACAUCAUUAAAACACAGCUGAAUAAAUGUUACGUUUGUUAAUGUUUGUAAGGAUUGUUGUCCAGCAAGUCCAGUACAGUCAAUAAAAUACUGAAUUUGUAAAAUAUA